rnacentral:rRNA from 1 species
UACAGAGGGUGCGAGCGUUGUUCGGAAUUACUGGGCGUAAAGCGCGCGCAGGCGGCCUUUUAAGUCUGACGGUGAAAUGCCGGGGCUCAACCCCGUGCCCGCCGGAGAUACUGGGAGGCUGGAGACGAGUAGAGGCAAGCGGAAUUCCGGGUGUAGCGGUGGAAUGCGUAGAGAUCCGGAAGAACACCGGAGGCGAAGGCGGCUCUCUGGGCCUUACCUGACGCUGAGGAGCGAAAGCGUGGGUAGCGAACAGG